AUGGUCAAUACUUAUCAACAGAAAGUACCUUGUCCUUCAUUAAUAGAAACAAACAGGAUGAAUAAAGAGUCUCUUGAAGAUCCAAAGGAAAUGGAUAUUGGAGAGUCUUGUGCCCCAAAUAGCGAAACAACAUCUGACCUGCCUGUAGCAAGGCAAGAGACAUCUUUAGAAGAAGCCAUAUCAGAACCUUUGCAGAAAUGUGUUUCCUCUCCUCAGAUGGAGUCAGACAGAAACAUGAAAACAUGGGAGGACCUACGAGGUUCAGAGAAUUCAAAUCCUGCCCUUUCAAGCAGAGAGGAGUUACCGAUGAAUAUAUCAGAAAUGCAAAGAUGCUUCUCACAGGGGAAUACAGACAGAAAAGAUCUUCUUGAAAUUGUUCUGGAGUCUUCUGACGUCAACUUGUUCAUUCCCCUAGGAACCGAAAAGCAUAAAAGCAGUGGACAACCAGCAGUUGUAGAAAUUCAGGAGAGGCCAGAGGAUGUAACUGAGAAGGAAAAAAACGCAUUAAGAGUUCACGUGAUGGAAAAUGACAUAAGCGGAAGUGAGGAACUCGAAUGCAACACUAGAAGCAACAUUAACAAUAUGCAAGAGGAACGAAUAUCUCCUGCGUUUCAUGAGGCCACUCACACUGCCCUUUCUUUACCACCUCGUAUGAAAAUGCAGAGUGGAUUAAAAACCAAGAUGGAUACAUCAGAAAUAGGACUUAGUUUUUCUGCAGUAAAGCCAGACGAAUUACCAGAUGACAGGAAAAUAUAUUUUUCCUUUGAGAAGAACUGUCUAGUUAAAAAACCACAAGAAGACAACAGAGAGGAAGAACAACAGGCUCCACAAGAAGCAGCUUUGCAGCUAACGCCAGGUUUCAGNNNNNNNNNNNNNNNNNNNNNGAAGCCCACGUAUGUCCAAUUGGAACCAGGACAGAAUAGUUCAAAAGGUCGAACCACUCAAAAUAAAGACCUCGGUGUUUACCCACAAACUCUCUCUACAGAGACAACUGUGGAGACUAACCCACACCCCAUGAUGGAUCCAUUUCAAGUUGAGGUGAAGCAAAGCACAGACAGACCUACAGGCAGGGAAACUGCAGACCCAGUGCAUCCUCUCACCAUGUCCGAGAGCUUGCCAAUUUUGACUGAAUCAACAGAAUGUGAUGUCCCUUUGGGUGGAAGCCCUGAGAAGUUCCUGGAUGCUCAGACUGCAGAAGUAAAGCAGGACUUAGAAGGAGUUUUACCUGAAGUAGCCCUGGGGUCUUUCCAUAGGCAUAUGCCUCCUUUAUCAAAUUUGAAAAGGAAGAAAAUCAGAAAAAAAAAAUCAGGAACCACAAAUGUACUCGGUUUCAAAUGUGUGAUUACGAAAGUAAAAAAGCCACCAAAAUGUCACAGAAGAAGAUUAAGAAGCAAUUUCAAAAUCAUGAUUAAACUCAUACUUCAGGAUAAAUCCAUGGCAGAUAUGCUUCUGAAUGUUACUGACCCUUGUCUGUCUAUUUUGCCCCACGUUAGAAUGCACAGCAGGUUAAACAUAGGGAAUCACGGUCAUACCGAGCUAAAACAAGAGACAUCAGAAGCUGAAAGAGAAGAAGACUAUUUAGAUAUCAUUAAUAAAGGAAGUGACUCUGGAAACACAGUAGAAGCAGCUCGGUUGCAGGAGGAAGUGAGUGGGGACCAGGAAGCUUCACCAGAAGCAGUCCUUGAGGAUCGCUGGAACCUCAGAUUGGAUGAAGAUCCAGAGAAAGAGCUCAAAUCCAUGAAAGAAAUGCAACAACCAAUCACAUUUGCAGAAGUCACGGCAGAGUCUAUUCACAUGGCCACAACAGGCCCAGUUCAUGUUGAGAAUAUGGAGAAAAGCCUGAUAGCACCCACAGAUUUAAGAUGCACUGAAGAUGAUUCCGAGAUAUCUGCUCCCACAUCAGAAAAAUCACUGAUUGGAGACCCUUUAAACCAAACAAGAGAAAGUGAUGUACCAGAUGAUGGAAGUGAUACCAGGGAAACAGGUUACUGUUUUGCAGCAAUGAAGGCGGAACGACCCAAAGAUUUACCAGCAAUGUUCCCAAAGACUUUUAAUUGCCACAUGCCUGUCUUAUCUCAUUCUAAAGUGAAGAAAACUAGAGUAAGAUUUUCACACAUAGAAUGUAGAGUGAACUCCAAGUCUGUACCUAUGAAGGCACUGAAGCCAUCCAUUUCACAAAUGUGUGAUAUCACAGGUCAUCAAAGAAAGAAACUGGAAUCUGACUUUAAGGCCAAGCUCAAAAAGAUCGGCCAAGCUAAUGGACUGGAAUAUGAAUUUCUAAACACCCUUUACUCUCCUGUGCAUAGCAGGUUAUCAGGAGCGAUAAAGAGCUUCUCCCAUGUUCAACCAAAGCUCCGGGGUCUAGCCGUUGAAGACAGACCACUGUAUGUUGAUUUUUUUGAUGAGAGAAAUGCACUCUGUGACAGAGAUGAAAAAGGACAAGAUGUAGAGGAAAAGGAGCAAAAGACUUUGCUAAUAACAGCUCCGCAGCAUACCCAGUACCUCUGGAUCAAUGGAUGUCGAGGAAAGGAGACUCACCUUGCUGAACCAGAUGCAGGCCUGCACCGUUUAACACAGGAGCAAGAUACACAGCACCAAACAUGCUUUAAACAAGCUGCUUUGCAGACUGAUGUCCAGAUGGGUCCUCGAGAAGCUAAGGAACUCCUGAAGACCAAGAAACCAGAAGAUGACCUAACAGCCCCUGCGGGUCUGGAGNNNNNNNNNNNNGAGGCAGGGAACUCACCUGUGAAACUUUUGAACAUUCCAACAGAGUGUGGUGUAGCCUCUGGUGGAAAUCUUACAAGGGAACGAGGUUCUUAUUCUGUGGAUAAAAAUUCAGCGUUACCAGAAAGUUUGCAAGUGACCUUCUUGCAGUCUUCUGAUUCUGUUGACACUUUCGUUUCUAAAUCUCAAAGAAAGAAAAACACACUAAAAUUAGCAACAAAGCAAACAACAGUGAGUCGUAGAUACAGAGCUAUGAGAGAACAAAACCUAUACACUCUGUGUAUGCUCCCUGACAGGCAGAGAAAUGCAUUGCAAUGCAAUUUUCAAAUGAAGGGUUUACAGCAAAAUAAAAACACAGGAGAUAUGUGUUCACCUGUCAUUCUCUCCAGGGUGCCUGUUUGGCCCAACACCAAAAUGAGCAUCGGAUUAAAUGUGGAGACAGAUACCCAAAGGAUAACAAGGCUUGAUCAUACGCAAAUGCAAGAGAAAUCACCCAAUGAAAGAAAAGUAUGUUGCCCAGCUUCUGUGGAUAUGAGUACUUUACCUAACAGUGUGAAAGACAGGAAGGAGAAGGGGGCAGGGGAACAAGAUUUACCAAUUCCAGAGAGUGGCCAAGGCUUCAUAUUUAGUACAUAUCAGGAGCAGGAUCAUGACCUUAUCAAAUCAGAUGAGGGGCAGAAACAAAUAGGAAGUAUAAAUAUCCAUGUACAACCACAAACACAUUUUGCAGAAAGUAUUUUGAGCUCUGCUUCAUGCCCAACAUUGGAUCCAUUUCAACCGAGAAAGCUAGAGAGCAAUGCUAGGUUUUUUCCUCCAACGUCAGGAGAAGCAAAGUUUGAUGAAAAAAUAUUUUCUGCAAGAGAAGGUGGUGUUCCAUCUGAGGCAAACCAUCAAAAGGAACAAGCUGGUGGAACUGAAAAGGAAGAGAAAGUGACUUUAGAUUUCUGCAUGGCUGCUUUAUCUCUAUCCAAAGGCAAGAGAAACUUCAAACAAUAUUCAGACAUGAAAAUCUUGAUGAAUUCCAAAUAUGGAAUUUUAAAAGCAAAGAAACCACCCAUUUCACACAUGCUCAAUAUCAAGGGUGGUGCUAGACGAAAUCGCAGGAAAGAAUUGCGAUAUAACUUGAGCACCAAAAUGGGACAGGUAGGUCAGGGUACAAAAAUGGCAGAGGGCAGGGACUCCCUCCUGAACAUCAUCUCUGCCAUUAAUAGAUAUAGUGACCGAGAAGGGGAAAAAGACAUGUUAGGAGAAAAAAGACUCAGUUCCGAACAAGUAAUGCAAAAUAUACCCCCACAUGAAGGGAAUAUGACUCCAGAUCACCCCAAAGAAGGUGAUCUUCAAGAUGAAGAAAGUGAACAGGAGAUGUUACUAAAAGUAAUUCCACAGCACAGCCAACAUUUCAUACUCUGUUCAGACCAGACGAAGGAGCUUGAGCUUCACAAACCAGGAAACAAAGGAUGUGGGGAAACUCUGUUUUUUACCAAACAGGACAUCCCCCAGCGCACACCAGAUCCAGUGCAGGCGACACAGCCAAAGAGCAGCCAGCAGACACAAAACGGCACAGUGUGGUCAGCGAGUUCAAACCUUCCUCUUCUAAAGUCAAACGAAUCACUAACCGGUCAAGUUGUAAUUGAUACAAUGAAAUGUGACGUCCCAAGUGAUGAGAGCCACAUGGGAGAACUGGAUGAUCAUGGUAAAGAGGAAAAGUCAGAGUUUAAAGAAGAUCUACAAGCACCUGUCCCUGAGUCUUCAGCUACUGCCACACCUGAUCCCCCUGACCCUAAACAGGGGAGAAAGACAUUUACAUGUAGAGCCUUAAAAAGUAAAAUGAGUCCCAAGUGUGUUGUUAUGAAGGCAAGAAAGGCACCAGUGUCACAGAUAUUUAACAUCCCUGGGAAUGGCUGUCUGAAAACCCUCCCUUCAAAAGCCCUGCGAUCACAGAUCAUUGAGUUUUUGAUUGAGAUAAAAUCCUCUGGGGCGCUAGAAGAUGUUACUGCAGAGAGGAAGGAAGGAGAAGCCCAAGAAUUGCUGGCAGCAAUGCUGGAGUUCUGGGAGGCAGCCACACUUGCUUUACCUGUGUUGAAAAGAGAGAGAAACCACUCAGAACUUACAGACAAGAUAAAUAAAAUGAGUCCCAAAUGUAUCACUUUGAAGGCNNNNNNNNNNNNNNNNNNNNNNNNNNNNNNNNNNNNNNNNNNNNNNNNNNNNNNNNNNNNNNNNNNNNNNNNNNNNNNNNNNNNNNNNNNNNNNNNNNNAAGAGAGAGAAACCACUCAGAACUUACAGACAAGAUAAAUAAAAUGAGGCCCAAAUGUAUCACUUUGAAGGCAAAGAAGACACCGAUUUCCAAGACAUUUAAUGUCACAAAAUGUGGUGUGCCAAGCCGUGGUAGGCAAUUUGAAGGCAAGUUCAAAACCAUGAGGAAACAAGGUCAGCCACUGGCAGUAGCCACGCCGAAGGCCACUUCCUCUCCCAUGUCGGUUUCACUGGACAUGAAGGUGCAUAACAGAACCAAAGUAGAGACAGACAUGCCGGGGAAGACGAGGUUCCAUCCUGAGCUACAACGGCAAGGGCACUGGCCAGAUGGAGGGGGAGCCUCGUGUCCCCGUUCUAGGGCCGAGAGGGAAAAGGCCAGGAAGGAACUCAAAGGCCACGGUAGAGAAGCGACGCCUCGGAAUUUCCAGCACCUCACUUCCAGUGCUCACCAUAUUAAGGAGGCUCGCUGUGUGAAAUCUGAUCUCAAACGGAAGUAUUCAGCAAGGGGAAAAAUCCCAGAAUCACUAACCAUAGCGGAGGAGCUGCAACAACGCACGUUUUUUGCACAAAGUGUCUUGCAUUCUGUGUCUUCCUCUAUUUUGAAUUCACUUCCAUCUGAGAAGGCACCAAAAAGGACAAAAACACAGAGGUCAAGGAUUUUAUCUCCAGCGACAGACAAAUCACUCGGCGAAUCUUUAGCUGUUAAAGUACCAAGUGACGUCCUGCCUGAAACAGGCCCAGCAAAGGAACCUGCUAGUUCUAGUCCAGAGGGAAAGAAAGAAUUACAAACGGAUUUACAAGGCAGAGCCCUACAGUCUUUCGGUAUCUCCAGGCCGGAUUCAUCUGAAAUUAAAGGGUUGAGAAAUGUAGCACUGAUCCCUACGUCUCCAGCUGGGGAAGCCCAGAUGGCAUCAGUUUUGAAGACAACUAACACCGCUAGUCCCAGUGCCCCCAGCCAUGGAAAGGAACUGGUCUACACCUUUGAUAACAUGGCCAAAGAGUUAUCUCAGAGUAUGUCAAAUAUAUUUAUGAAUACUUCUUUUUCACCUACACCUGUUUCACCUGCCACCAAAACACAGAAAAAACGGAAAGCCAAGAAAGACCCAGUCGAAGUCAGUAUUAUACAGCUAAAACCAGAGGACAGGAAACGAGUGUGUAAAAGGUGCAGCGCCUUGGGCACCACAUCUCAGUCAGGACGGCAAAAUGAAAGAGAGGGCAAGGAAGUUGCAUUCAAAACAGAAAGUAGAAAAGAUGAAAAUAUGCUUAUUACAGAGCAAGACAUGCAGCAGCAAACACUAGUUUCAGAAAAUAUAUUGGAGUCUACCUGUUCUCCUCUGAUAAUUCCAUUUCAAACUGAAAAGGUGAAGAAGAACAUCCCACCAUAUACAAACAUACUGCAUAGAAAAAGUGAAAAGAUUUCAUGUGUAAAAAGAGAGAAAGCGAUGGUCGAUGGUCUUUUAAUUGAUGAGGCAGGGUGUAGGACUCCAUCUGCUGGGAAUCCCACAAGAAGGCUGGAUGCUUCCAGUCCAGCUCCCCUACAACCUGGAGAAGAGAAAGACAUAAAAACUCAAAAAGUAACAAAAUACGCAGCUGAUCAAAAUAUCCCACUUCCCAAGUCAGGAAUCUCAGCGCUUGGAGAUUCACCUAUUGAAAGCUGUAGAAGGAAAGUGGGUGGUUCUAUUGUCAAGAAACAUAAAGAGUUGCAAAGAGAUUUACUAACAAUAUCCACAACGUCUGUUUUGUCUGAAUCUAGAAGGCAGAAAAAAGCGCUAAAAUUUCCAGAACGGAAAGAUCUUAUGGGUCCCAGAUAUACAACCAUGAAGNNNNNNNNNNNNNNNNNNNNNNNGGUGCUUAAUAUCACUGAGCAUGGUCAUCAGUACUGUGAAAAGAAACAGGAAUGCUAUUUAAAGUCUGUGAUAAAAGACAGGCAACAACAUAAAUGUAUAGCUGAUGCAUUUUCAUCUCUCACACCUGUUUCAAUGGAUAACAAGAUAGAUAUUGAAAUUGAUAGCACACUCACCACAGGGACAGAUCAACCAAGAGUACAAACACACAACCACACCUGCCCAGAGCUAGAGAAAUCACUGAGUGUUGGGGAAGCAUGGGAGGCCAAUUUGAUUGAUACACAAAGCAGAUCCAGCAACACAGGGGGAGUGAGUGUGCCACAUGAGAAGGAAGAGGAAAACAUCCCAGAAAUAUCAGCAGAAUCAGUUCCACACGAGAGCCAACAUCUCCAUUUCACUUCUCAUCAUGUGAAAAAUCUUGGCCCUUGCAAAUCAAAACCUAAACUGGAUAGUUCAGAAGUUAGAAGUACUUGGGAUCUGUCUUGUGCGGCACAAAACAUGAGGCAAGAAGAACACAUUAGAAAAACUAUUUUAAAGCCUGUCUCUAAAAGCGUGAUGACUUUAAUUCGAGUCCAAACACUGAAGAAAGUUCUUCACACUCAAGAGGAAAUCCAACACAUGGCAGAUCUAAAGACCCCAUUUCCAGAAGCUAGGAAAUCAGAGACUGGUUCCUUACACUGCGAUGGUGUCUGGGAUGGAAAUCCUACGAGGAAACGAGAUAAUCCUAUUUUUAAGAAAAAGGCAAGGAGUCAGAGUGACUUACUGGGAACAGUCUUAAAGCCUUUAGGUUUCUCCAGCCUUGAUUCAUCUGAACCUGAGAUCCAGAGUCAUACAGCAGAGGCUGUAGGCGAGAAAAGCACAAUGAGUCCCAAGCAGGCAGCUCUGGAGGCAGGGACGCUACCAGCUUUACAGGAGCUUGAUAGCACGAGGUGUCUUACCGGAAACCAUAGAGAGAAAAGCCACAAACUGAAGACCAAGGCAAGAGAGAAGCGAUGGAAUGAAGGUGCGAGAGAGACAUUAUUCCAUGCCAGUGAGGGAGCUAAGAGUCCACCAACCACGUUAGUGACUGAUAAACUCUCAUUUGAUACAGCAGUGAGGGACAGUCUGGAUAACCAUGGAACACUUCACAAAAAUCUAGGUGAUUUUGUUACAGAGAAAAAGGCAGAGCUGGACAAAAACUUAGCCACAGUUCUCCUGGGGCCUUUCGAUUUAUUCAUGCCUGUUUUAUCUGACUCUGAAAGCCAGAUAAACACAGUGCAAGAGAANNNNNNNNNNNNNNNNNNNNNNNNNNNNNNNNNNNNNNNNNNNNNNNNNNNNNNNNNNNNNNNNNNNNNNNNNNNNNNNNNNNNNNNNNNNNNNNNNNNCUCUGAAAGCCAGAUAAACACAGUGCAAGAGAAAAUCAUACCAAAACGCAAAUGUUCGGUGAUGAAAAAAAAGGAGCCACUCAUUUCACAGCUACUUAAAAUCAGUAGACAAUCUGCCACAAAACAGAGGACGAAAUUUAGAUCCAAGGUAGAAACCAAAAUGAAAGAGAUGCACUCAGGUAAAAAUGCAACUGAUAUGUAUACAAAUGCCACUUACUUCAAAGUGGAUACCUCCAACAUUAGAAGGCAAAGCAGAUUCCAAACAGAGGCAGACAGAAUAUCAGGGNNNNNNNNNNNNNNNNNNNNNNNNNNNCAGCUGCCAGUCGAAGACAGAGUGGUUUUACAGUCACGUAAUGCCACAGGUCCUGCUGCUUUAAGCAUUAACAAAGAACAGGAGAUAGACACACACACAGAGAAAGCUGUGUUAAACACAGACCUAAAAUCUACAGAUGCUUCUCCAUCUAUUCCACCACAUACAAAAAUGGAGCAGUCACCUAACACCUCGAGUAACUAUGAAGAAUCUUCUGAAAAGAGAAAUGCCCUAAAGAAAGCAAAAGGUAUGGAGGAAAAAGAGUGUGAACAACAGGUCUUGUCUGGAACACCUUCACAAUAUACCCAGUCACUUGAGUUUCUACAAAAGAAACAGCAAGAACUAUGUGUCUCAGGAAACAUCCAGAACUCUGCUUAUGCUUAUACACCUCCAUACCCCCAAAUCCUAAACCAUCAAGCUAAUGCGAAAGCAGCAGGUGUAGAAAGCACUGUGCCUACUGAACAGGUAAAAUCAAAGGCAAAGAAACCAUUUGUUUCCCUGAUGUAUAACACAGCAGGGCAUGGAACCCGAAGCCAUGAAAAGGAGACAAGGUUUAACACCAAGAAGCAGAAGCCAGGGUUCCAGCAAGAUAAAACUGAGGUAGAAUUCUCUCUGAAAACUAUCUGUGACCUUGAGUCUAUUCCACCUCAAAUUCAAGAGUUGAUGGAAGCGGAAAGGGAGAAAGGCAAGCCACCAAGGCCAGAGAAAUCGCUGAACACAAGACAAAUAGCAUUUUCACAGUCUCUUGCUAAGAGUGCCAAAUCCAGAAAUAGGAAAACCCCGGGACAGUGUAUCAGAAAGCAAGAAGAAAAUUGCCAAAUUGCUUCGCUGGACCUCUUCCCACAGUGUAGAUAUCGAUUCGUGAUGAGACAGCAACUGAAGAAGAGCCCCACCCAUGUCAAAUACACAGUAAAUUUGAAAAGAGAAGCACAUCCUGCUCAACCUUCACCAAAGAGAGCAAGCUGCUCCACCACAUUUGACAUCUCAAGAGUGAGAGUACACACACAGCGCCAGCGCCUCAUCGCCCUGGGAGUAAAGGCGGGAGACAGAGACAAGGCCCAACCUCCAGUGUCAACUCCGCAGAGGACGGAAGUAUCUGAGAAAACAGAUAUUUCUUUAAGUUCAAAAGGACAGAAUAUGUGUCUUCCAGAGUCAGGUGCUUCUCAAGAGAAGACUUGCAAGGAACAGGAUCUGCUGAAAGAAGGAAGUAAUUCAAGGACACUGGUGGAGCCUACUUUGUACUCCAUUACGGAAACCUCUCAUUUGGAAAAUACCAUUCCAAAUCAACUGGCAAGAGAUGGCUUAAGAGAAACUGAUACCUUACAAGGUUCAAAAGGACAGACAUUUCUUUGUGCAAACGCAGAAGCCCAGCAAUAUACACCUGCAGUGGAGAUAGGAGACGUGAAACCAGAUCCCAUUCCGGAACGUCUCCUGGAUUCAGCAUCUUGCCCCAGUGGGGCACUUCAUGUGAGAGAGGCAGGAAAUGCAACACGGAAAGAAAAAGUUAGCAUCCCUGUUGUUUCAGACGUCAAUCUAUGGGAAACCGAGAUGCCAAAGUUAACGAACCUUCUAUUAACAUCAAACGAACAGAAAAUAAACUGUUCCCAAAAAGGGAGGACAGAGCAGCGAAACAGUUCUAACCAGAAGAAAGGAAAUCUUCUGGAAUUCAUUUCCUCUUGCAUAUUGUAUCAACUCCAUAUUGAAAGGCGAAAGAAAGAAAUCUCAGCCAAAGGAAUGAGUUCAGCGGUUUUGAAUCCAGUGGUCCAGAAAGCAUCAAACACAGUAGAUACUCCAGUGGAUCAACCUCCGUGCUCAGGAAGAAGAAAAGGACAUCAACACGAAAGUACACACAAGGCUCUCCCAACAUCUCUUUCUCAUUCUAUGAUGAAUAUAUUUCAGAUUAAAUUGCCAGGAGUAAUGAAGGCAACAAAGGAAGUCGAUAGUCCAAGGCACCACAGUUCAAACACAGAAGGAACUGGCUUGCCUGGUGCAGGAACAGAAGAGCAACCAGAAUGCAUACAACGUAUUUGGCCAAAUCUUGCUUCUGAUCCUUCAAGAGAUAUACUAUUUCAAAGUAAGAUGCCGUAUGAAAAGACAGUAUCGGAAGAAGUAGUUAGCACUGUGGAGUAUACUCCAAGUACAGAAGGACUUGGUUCACAUAUUACAGGAAAAGGAGGCCAGCAAGAGAAAUGCAUGCCUGAGACCCUUCAGAAGUCCACAUCUCACCCCCAAGCAGGUCUCCACCAAACUAAUAUCUCAGUGCAAGAAGUAAAGUUUGAUGACACAAGUAAGAUGCAUUCUGAAUAUUCAACUCCACAGGCUAAGGAAGCANNNNNNNNNNNNNNNNNNNNNNNNNNNNNNNNNNNNNNNNNNNAA
rnacentral:lncRNA from 1 species